AAGUCGUAACAAGGUUUCCGUAGGUGAACCUGCGGAAGGAUCAUUAACGAAUUCAAAGUCGGCCUUGUUGUGCUGGUGGAAACACAUGUGCACACUUGGUCGCAAAUCCACACACCUGUGCAUCUAUGACUCGAGGUUGUCGUCGUAUGACCAAGAGUAACUUUUACACACUCUUGAAUGUAAUGGAAUGUCUAUGUGCAUAAUGUACAAUGAAAACAACUUUCAACAACGGAUCUCUUGGCUCUCGCAUCGAUGAAGAACGCAGCGAAAUGCGAUAAGUAAUGUGAAUUGCAGAAUUCAGUGAAUCAUCGAAUCUUUGAACGCACCUUGCACCCUUUGGUAUUCCGAAGGGUACACCCGUUUGAGUGUCAUUGUAAUCUCACUUCGACGACUUUAUUGUUGUUUGAAUGUGGACUUGGACGUCUGCCGUGUAACAAUGGCUCGUCUUAAAUGCCUGAGUGUACCCCGCUUUGCGGCGUAUUCGGUGUGAUAAACAUUUCACCGGAGUUUGGUCUUUAKUGACCGCGCUUUUAGCAAUUGGUGGGCUCUAUGCUUUCKAACCGUCUGCCUCUGUGGACAAUCUCUUGACAAUUUGACCUCAAAUCGGGUGGGACUACCCGCUGAACUUAAGCAUAUCAAUAAGCGGAGGAAAAGAAACUAACAAGGAUUCCCCUAGUAACGGCGAGUGAAGAGGGAAAAGCUCAAAUUUUGAAUCUGGUGUCUUUGGCGCCCGAGUUGUAAUCUAGAGAAGUGUUUUCCGUGUCGGACCGUGUACAAGUUCCCUGGAACGGGGCRUCAUAGAGGGUGAGAAUCCCGUAUAUGCCACGGACUACCGAUGCUCUGUGAUACACUCUCAACGAGUCGAGUUGUUUGGGAAUGCAGCUCAAAAUGGGUGGUAAAUUCCAUCUAAAGCUAAAUAUUGGCGAGAGACCGAUAGCGAACAAGUACCGUGAGGGAAAGAUGAAAAGCACUUUGGAAAGAGAGUGAAACAGUACGUGAAAUUGUUGAAAGGGAAGCGUUUGAAGUCAGUCACGUUUGUUGGGAUUCAGCCUGGCUUCUGCCUGGUGUAUUUCCUUUCCAACGGGUCAGCAUCAGUUUCGACCGAGGGAAAAAGACAUUUGGAAUGUGGCUGUCUUCGGGCAGUGUUAUAGCCUUGUGUUGUAUGUCUCGGUUGGGACUGAGGAACGCAGCGCGCCAUUUUGGCCGGGGGUCGCUCCUCUCGACACGCGCUUAGGAUGCUGGCAUAAUGGCUUUAAGCGGCC
rnacentral:rRNA from 1 species